rnacentral:rRNA from 1 species
GCGUAAUACAAGAGGGUGCAAGCGUAAUCGGAUUACUGGCGUAAAGCGCGCGUAGCGGCUAAUAAGUCAAAUGUGAAAUCCCCGAGCUUAACUUGGGAAUUGCAUUCGAUACUGGUUAGCUAGAGUGUGGGAGAGGAUGGUAGAAUACAGGUGUAGCGGUGAAAUGCGUAGAGAUCUGGAGGAAUACCGAUGGCGAAGGCAGCCAUCUGGCCUAACACUGACGCUGAGGUGCGAAAGCAUGGGGAGCAAACAGGAUUAGAUACCCUGGUAGUCCAUGCCGUAAACGAUGUCUACUAGCCGUUGGGGCCUUUGAGGCUUUAGUGGCGCAGCUAACGCGAUAAGUAGACCGCCUGGGGAGUACGGUCGCAAGACUAAAACUCAAAUGAAUUGACGGGGGCCCGCACAAGCGGUGGAGCAUGUGGUUUAAUUCGAUGCAACGCGAAGAACCUUACCUGGCCUUGACAUAGUAAGAACUUUCCAGAGAUGGAUUGGUGCCUUCGGGAACUUACAUACAGGUGCUGCAUGGCUGUCGUCAGCUCGUGUCGUGAGAUGUUGGGUUAAGUCCCGCAACGAGCGCAACCCUUUUCCUUAUUUGCCAGCGAGUAAUGUCGGGAACUUUAAGGAUACUGCCAGUGACAAACUGGAGGAAGGCGGGGACGACGUCAAGUCAUCAUGGCCCUUACGGCCAGGGCUACACACGUGCUACAAUGGUCGGUACAAAGGGUUGCUACCUAGCGAUAGGAUGCUAAUCUCAAAAAGCCGAUCGUAGUCCGGAUUGGAGUCUGCAACUCGACUCCAUGAAGUCGGAAUCGCUAGUAAUCGCGGAUCAGAAUGCCGCGGUGAAUACGUUCCCGGGCCUUGUACACACCGCCCGUCACACCAUGGGAGUUUGUUGCACCAGAAGUAGCUAGCCUAACUGCAAAGAGGGCGGUUACCACGGUGUGGCCGAUGACUGGGGUG